rnacentral:rRNA from 1 species
GCUGGGUAGCCAAGUGCGGACGGGAUAAGCGCUGAAAGCAUCUAAGCGUGAAGCCCCCCUCAAGAUGAGAUUUCCCAGUAUGUAAGACCCCUUGAAGACGACGAGGUAGAUAGGUUCGAGGUGGAAGCGCAGCAAUGCGUGGAGCUGACGAAUACUAAUCGGUCGAGGGCUUAUCCAA